CGAUUGAAAAAAAAAUACUUUAACAAUUCCGUACUUAUCCAUCGCAUAGGACUGCCGAUAGCAGUCGCUAGUCAACAUCGUAAGAAAACGAUAACAAAAUUGUCAGCCCGUUGAUCUCACUGCCGCAAAUUCAAAAACUACCUGUCAGAAAAACAACCGUUGCAGGACAUAGAGUGUGAAAAAGGUGUAUCCUAUCGAAUCUUCUAUGGCGUAUAGCAACGUUGCAUUUCAAAAUCCUUAUUAUCCAUUUCUAAACGCGCUUGGUGGCGGAAGCGUGCCUCACACGAUUCCUGUAUAUCAUGGACAAGUGGGUUACAGGGAACAAGCUGCUUUCCAACACCUUCCUGCGGCGUUUAAUCCUGUGGGUUACACUCACCCAGGAGUAUACUUGAGGACUGGCGAAUGUAACCAAUUCGGUGGCAAUCCAAGUGGCUACAGUGUCGAACCCAUCAAUCCCAGUGCGCCGUCGUACCCCAGCGGUCGUAUGAGUGAUCCAAGCGCCUUUAAUGCCACUGCGGAGAACUCUAGCGUAAAAACUAAUUCGCGUAACUCCACCGGCCCGAACAGUAACUCAACGUCAUGCAAUGUAUCUUCAUGCAGAACAUCGUGUGGCCAGACGAAAAAUGGAAACAUGCAAGCUUCAGCCGAUCCAUGUAACAUAGAUGCACGCACCUCGACGGAUUGCACUCGACCCUCGUGCACUCCAGAGAAGCGCAAUUCCUCAUGUAAAUACCCUGCAGAAAAAUCAAAUGCCGAAAGCCAGAGUUUAACUAGCCAGAAGUCUACGUCGUGCUCUUCUAGCGCGCGAAUUUCAAACUCGUGUAACUGUUCACGUAGUUCGACCGUCUGCCGAUGCUCUGUGCAGAGUAAUUCGCCAUGCGUGUCUAAGUCUGGCGCCCGCAGUAUCCCUGUUAACUACGUGAAUUCGGAUAAUUACAGCUGUUGCGGUCGUACCCUAACCGCAAACGACCUUGCGGUUUAUAACAGAACCUGUGACAAUUACAACUAUUGUCUCGGCUCACUUCGACAAAACUGUACUGUCUGCCCGAUGAAGUCAGCGCCGUGCAGCCCUGUCACAAGCGUCUCCGCAUGUGGCGGCACCGCUGUUGCCGGUACUAUAAGCUCGUGGUGUCCUAUUGCUAAUAGUGCGCGUCCUGGAUGUCCCAUUACUAACGCAGCUCGCUCGAUCUGUCCUGUUGAAUCUGGUCAAGGGACGUGCGGUAAUGGCUACAGCAGUUGCGGCGUCCCCACGGUUUACUACCAAUAUCCGUGCGCUACGGCUACACCUGCUGCGACAUCGUGCGGUACGUGCCCUAUCCCAGCCGCCGACGGCCCAGUCUACCAAGUAAUGGGUCCCUGUUCACCCUAUAACCCCGCGGCGUACAAUCUAAACAGGUAUGGUCAAGCUGGUAAUUAUGGUAAGCCUUUUAACGCAUAUAUUUGCACACCUAACGCCACGAACGCGCUGGCAUAUAAUCCCAGUGCAUACGCUUACGCAGUUCCUGUUCGGGCAAGCGCGGUGUCAACGAAUACGACUGCUGCGGGUGCCGGGUCGCCCUGUAACGGGUCAGGGACAGAUAAUUUAAGCGCGGACCCAGAUACUCAGCCAGACACUACCUCAGUACCCACAUCUGAGCCGAAAGCAAGAACAUGCGUAUUGAUGUGAAUUACUCAAAUAGAAUGUGGAACAGAAAAUUUACAUAUAAUGCAAAAUAAACUGGUGAUUUCGAGCUGUCAUUUUUCAGUGCCCAAUAUUGUCCCAACUAGAACCACGAAUACUGAUCUUUUCCGACGAGAUCUUCGCGAUCGGUAUGAGAACAUGGUACGGUAGUUCGUACAAACUGAAUAUACGGUCUUCCGUGCGAAGUGUUGCACACAGGCAAGCAACGUUCACUCGUGUUAAUGAUGUACAAACGAGCGAACGAGAGCGUCGUCAAUAGCCAAAAGUAAAAAAAAAGCGAAGAACUAUAUUAAUUAGCAAUUCUCGAUCUUAUAUUCUGCCUUACAAACUACGUCCAUAGAAAUUGUGUGGUACAAAUAACAGUCACUACAAUUUUGCUCGAUGCUGGUCCGUGUUGUAGUUUCGGGUUUCGGGCGAUACAAGAAUGAGAAGAGCAAUCUGACUACAAUUAAUCUACCAUCAAAUCUUCACUCGCGUGAUCUUAUUGUUUAUUAUCUAUACGACAGCUUGUCCAACGUCUAUUGCAUAAUAAAUUUUGAUAUUAAAACACAAAUAAAACAAGCAAGAAGACAACGCAUUAGGCUAAAACGUAAUUGAAAAUCAGCAUUCUCAAUGGCCUAGAAGAAGCAGACUGUGAAUUGCUGCCAUUCAGCUGUAACAAGUCUGUAUUGUUCCAGCGAUCUUUACCAGUGCUGAAUAAGUUCGUGAUAGAAAAAAAUGUAGCCGUCUACGAUAAGAGUGGGCUUCGCUAAGGAAGGAUUAUUAGUGAAGAUUUGAUCACCGGCUUGAUACCCGUUGGAAAAAUGCCUGGAGCAAAGGGCGUGAACAAGCAGAGUCAUGAAUUUGGCAAUACACUGCCUCUAAUGGUCACGUUUCCAACAAGAGCCGUGAUGACUCCACGUAUAUUUUGAAUAAAGCGAGUUCAGAUAAUGGA